rnacentral:rRNA from 1 species
UACGUAGGGUGCAAGCGUUUGUCCGGAAUUAUUGGGCGUAAAGAGCUCGUAGGCGGUUUGUCGCGUCUGCUGUGAAAUCUGGGGGCUCAACCCCCAGCCUGCAGUGGGUACGGGCAGACUAGAGUGCGGUAGGGGAGAUUGGAAUUCCUGGUGUAGCGGUGGAAUGCGCAGAUAUCAGGAGGAACACCGAUGGCGAAGGCAGAUCUCUGGGCCGUAACUGACGCUGAGGAGCGAAAGCGUGGGGAGCGAACAGG